rnacentral:lncRNA from 1 species
GCUGUCAUCACACACACGUACGCUCAUGACCCACACACACAACUACUCAAUUUACAGGAACACAUUGGUCCACCUGCUCGUGCGCGUGUUUG